UUUAAAUUAUUUUCACUCUUCUCUUUAUUGCCACCUCCUCCUCCUGGAGAUCACAGCUAAUGUCACCUUUACCAUCUCCUCCACUGGGUAGAGCCUGGACAUCUGGCACCUGGGCACUGGUCCUGCCUGGGCACUGCCACUUCCAUUCUCAUGACAGGAGCAAAGUGCCUGCCCUGUGGAGUGCCUUGACACUUUACCCCAAUAGCACGCUUAACACAAAGGAUCUCAGAGUGUCUUGGGGAAGAUGUGAUCUGUGCCAAGCUCAGUCCUUUUCCUGGACCCUCUGCAGAGAAGCCAGGGCAUUCUCCAGCCUGUGCUAGAAAUGCGACAAGCUCAGGAAUUAAGGUGCAGGAGUUCCCGCCAUGGCUCAGUGGUUAACAAACUCAAUUAGUAUCCAUGAGGACAUGGGUUCAAUCCCUGGCCUUGCUCAGCGGGUUGGGGAUCGGGCACUGCUGUGAACUGUGCUGUAGGUUGCAGGUGCGGCUUGGAUCCAGCAUUGAAAUGACUGUGGUGUAGGCCGGCAGCUACAGGUCCGAUUAGACCCCUAGCCUGGGAGCCCUCCAUACGCUCUAGGUGUGGCCCUAAAAAGACAAAAAGACAAAAAAAUAAAAGAAAUUAAGGUGCACAUUUCAUAGGCAGGCACUUCAUCAAGCACGGUCCUGUUCCCUUUGCUAAUCGUUUCAUGCCUGUGCUUCCUGCCUUCCCAGCCAUCCUGAGACCAUCUUGAGGGUAUGGACUGCAGCUUCUAGUUCUCUGUUAAGCCCAGGGUUCUGAGCAUCACAGUGAGGGCUGGAUUCAUAUCAGCUGGUUGUCUCAGCAUCAUCUCCACCAACCUGAGGCACAGGUGCUUCUCCAGGGCAUUUUCCAAGGGGGAAAGUCCAGGAUAAAGUCCCUGACCCCAAGUCUUUAUCUUACACCUGAAAAUACCCUUUCCCCCAACAAGGACACACUCACAGGCCUCCAGCAUUAGGGCCUGACAUCUUUGGGGGAUGCUUCGCCUACUGCACCACCGCCCACCACCUCUUCUGACCUCGAACGAGUGUCCAAGGGUCCCAGAUCAGCCUCUCUGAGUCGUGCUUAUCCCUCUGAGGUACAGGAAUGACUUUUAUGGAUCCGUUGGCUUCUUCACAGAGUGGUGGUGAGGACUGAGAGGUAAUAUAUAUAUUGAAAGCAUUUUCUAAGCUGUAAAGCCCCACACAAAUGCAAGACAACAUUAUUGCACUGGGAGCGUGGCAAGUUCAACACUUGAGAAAACUAUCAGAUUUUAAAACAUGUGAGGGAAUAGGAAACCAAUGUUAUUCCAAAACCUCAUUUACACCCCACACCAAAGCCUCCCACUCUCCCUGCCUCCGCUCUCCCCUGUGGCUAUAGGGGUGUGACAGAGGCCUGUCUUGGGGGUGGCUUUGUGGCCUGAAAACAAAUCAUUCUUCACAGCUGGCUCCCCGAGUCCAAUAAGCCAGAAGGAAUUGGUAGAGAGAUUUAACGAUAUGUAUUUCAAGAAAAAGAUGAAAAUGUGUCUACUUUUAGGAGAUGCAGUAAAAAUGCAUCAGCCCCACAAUAAACUUGGCAGUGAAGAUGCAUAGAAGGCACACAUAUAAUGCAGUCAGGGCAGUAAUGUCUCAUUUCUAGGGAAAUCCUCUAAGAGAUCAAUUAGAAUUUGCCCCCGCCCAUGCCCUAUACACAGCCUCUGAACACGGUCCCACCCCUCCAGCUACCUCCAGCCUCUGCAGGGGGCCUGUUGGCUCAAAGCAGCUUGUUCCCCAGUCUCCCUUGGAAGUCUCUAGAAGAGAUGUGGGCUGAAACGGUUUGCAAACCAAUUACAUGAGAAGUGGGAAACUGUGGCCCCCCGAUCAAACCUGGCUCAUAAAUUACAGCUUUAUUGGAUCACAGACAUGCUGAUUCCUUCUAUGAUGGCUUUGUUGCUCUAAUAGAAGAGUUUAAUAAUUCUGAUUGAAAUCACAUGGCCUGAAAGUCUAAUAUAUAUAUUAUUGGGCCUUUACAGAAAAAGUUUGUUGACAUCUGAAUAACGCCAUUACGUGAUAGGCUGUCUUUAGGCAAAACUGCCUGUAAAACCAAGAACAGGAUGACAGCUAAUUUUUUUGAGCCCUGUUCUGUGCCACGCAUGGCAUUGUGCCCAUAGGAACAGAAUGUCCCCUUAUUUAUUCUCGCAAGCAGUCCCAUGAGGUAGUAAUGCUAGCAGUAUGGCUAGAGGAGAAAACAGGCUCAGGGAAGCUAAGCAACUUUCUCAAGGUCUCAACCUGGAAAACCGGUAGAACUGGCGUUCACACUCAUGUGCGGCUGAUUCCACCACCCUUGCUCUGGCCGCCACUCUCAAGCAUCUGGUUUCCAGAUGGGCAAUUCAGAGACCCUCUUCCAGUCUCCAGCACCUUGCACUUGUUGAGGAUCUGAUUUUCUGUAUCUAAUGUACCUGCAUCGAAUCUCCCAUCAUUCACCUGCCUGCCGUGGCCGCUCUGCUAAGGAGUGGAGAAAGGGAGCCUUCCAAGCCGUCUUCCUCCCCCUUUCCCACCCUGUGCUCCCCAUCCCUGUGCUCAGUGGAUUUUGUCCCACAUUUCUGCAGGACCCGUGUUGCCGCAGUCUCCCCCGACUGUCCCACUCCUGGGCGAGAUUCUGACUGUUCUGGAGCCUCCAGUCUGCACAGAGGGGGGCGCCAACAGAGCCCUGGGAACAGAGGCAUUUGCAUUCCACUUCCCGGGGCUGUUCUGAUCUUACCUGCAAUUCUUCUGACAAAUUCUUAUCAGCGAUGCCCAUGGCGAAGUCUGUGGUGACUUUGUUCAUUCUUAUUAGCUCUGCAGAUUAGCUCUUCACAGCGCUUGGCUGGUUCAUACCGAUUCCUGAUAAAUGUUUUGACUGAUUUUCCUGACUUGGGAGCAGUUGGGGACUGGGGCUGGGGUGGAGGCAGAAGACCGUGAGGAGAGGGGUGCUGGCGAGGGGAAGGAGAGAAAAUUGUGGCCAGGAUUACAUCUGGGCUAUAAAAUAUUCAUCACAUGCCUGCAAGAGCAGGGUCAGCACCACUUCCCCAAGAACUGCUCCCUCCACCAGGCAGCACUUUGAAAUGCACCAGCCUGGGCAGGCUGGGAGCAGCCGGGAGAGGCUUCUGAGAGAAGGGGCCAGUGGAAGUUAAAAGGAAGGAAGAACAAACCAGCUCACUUGGGCUUUCCUGUCCUUCUCGGUCCCUCCCUUCUCACCUGCUCUUCAAGAACAGCUUUUGAUGGCAGAAUACUGAUGUUCCGGGUGGGCUUAGCUGCUCCUGUGCUGGGUUCCUCUUCUCCCUUUUGCUGCCCAAGAAACCUUCCUGAGAAUUUCAGCCCACCCUUCCUCUCCUUUCCAAGAGGUCCUCCAGCUUCCCUCUUUGAGGACUUCAGACAGUGCUAAUAACAGCGUUCCUCACCGUCUCCUGUAUUUCCCCACCUAGACUGGACUUAGAGUCAUGCCCCUCCCAAGACUAGACACGAGGUACCCAUUUGUAACGUCAUGGCUGAAUUAAAAGAGCUCCUUCCCUUUGGCAGAGUUGGCCAGCAGGUACCACCACACCACCAGUGCUGAAGCAAGGCAGGCAUUGCCGAACGACUUCCACACGCUUUCUUCUCAAACCAAGAUGAAGUUUUCCCCUUGUUCUUAACAAGAGUUUCCAAGCAGCCACUCCUAAUCCAAUGGAAUCAAGAAGGAAAUAAAAACCUCUUUGCUAUCCUGGUUCUUUGGUAUCCCCUGUAACUUCCUUGCAAUCAGGCACUACCUUUAGAGUCUAGGAACCUGGUACUGUGGCCCCAUAUAAAAUAGGAGUUCCCGUCGUGGUGCAGUGGUUCACGAAUCUGACUAGGAGCCAUGAGGUUGAGGGUUCGACCCCUGGCCUUGCUCAGUGGGUUAACGAUCCGGCGUUGCCGUGAGCUGUGUUGUAGGCCGCAGACGCGGCUCGGAUCCCGCGUUGCUGUGGCUCUGGCGUAGGCCAGUGGCUACAGCUCCGAUUCGACCCCUAGCCUGGGAACCUCCGUAUGCCCAGGGAAGCGGCCCAAAGAAAUAGCAAAAAGACAAAAUAAAUAAAUAAAAAUAAAUAAAUAAAUAAAUAAAUAAACCCUGCACCCACAAAAGAAAGCUAUCCAUCACUUUCCGCAGGUAUCCGGUCAAGGCUUACCCUCUAAAAAAUUCUUUCAUGUGUCUAACCCAAGACCCUGCUGCAGUAGAAUUAUAUUCCUGGGCUUUUCUCCCAUGGGAGAAAAAAGUCAGAUGCUUUGAGAAGUGAUGUUCUCACUCACUGCUCUUUCCCACUGCCCGGAAGUUUAAACUCUGGUGCCCAAGCACCUCACUCUGGAAAAACUCGACUCAUGCCAGCCCCAUGCCUGCUCGUGCCAGCUCCCUGGAAAAUGACCCACACCCCCGAAACUAGAAAGAGGCCUGGAGACUCUUGAAGGUCCUCUCUUGCCGCAGCCAAGUUUACUCAUUAGCCUUUCACCAGAUUUAUCUUCUCCCUGGUAGCCUGCAGCGCUUUGAUUUGUCCUGCUGUCACCAGGACUAAUGUUGAUGGCGGCACCCCCCCGGGGGCGUCAGGCUCUCCAGCCUCCUGCCAGAGCCCUCGAGGAAAAUGGAUGAGCAACUGACCCGCAAAAUAAAUACCAGACUUCCAGGUUCUGAUAAAGAUUAAAUAUUGGAGGAGUCAUUUCAAAUGAAUAUAUAAAAGCACAUGGAAGAAGCCUUUUAGACUCCGGCAGAGUGACAUACAGGCAAACAAAGAGAGAUGUCUUUGGGGAAGUUCAGUGGCAGGGAAGUUGGAGGCUCCGAAUGCAAUCUGCCCACAAAUACCCCAGCUGCAGGAAAGAUUCCAAAACAGUCAUCCCUCCCUUUCCCUCCACCCUCCCCACCCAGAUCGUGAAGAAGAGAAAGUGCUAAGCUCCAAAAGCCGCGUGCCAGCAUGAUGCUGAAGUCAGCUCUGGCCCAUCCAACCAAGGGAGAAGCCCCAUUACUCAACACCAUCUGCCUUGGGCGUGGAGCAGCCAAGAGCUAGGAUUACGGGCGGGGAUGGGGCUCUGAGGCCCCAAAGGAGAGAGUUACUGGGGAAGAGCAAGGUCAGGCAUCUCUGAGACAGAACAGGGAGGCGGGAGAGAAGCCAGAUGUCAGCAGAUGGAGCCAGUGUUCCUUGAGCCUGGGGCAGAAUGUGGUAUCUGGUCCGAAACAUGUGCAGAUUGAUUGCACAUCCAGAAACGCCCAAUAACCAGAAUCCCAGGAUCCUGUCUCUAGAAUCAAAUGUUGGAGUUCUCUGGAUCAAAGUUCAAGUGCAGUUAGCAUGGAGAUGGAAGAGGAGAGAGGCAGCCUUGAUUUACCUGGUGCCUGCAGUGCUGGGCCACUUACUCCUCCUGACCGUCCUGGGAGAUGGGCACUGGCAUCCAUUCCUUACAGAAAGGAGGCUGAGGCUGCGGCGAACGGAUGGCCACGAGGCUGGCGUUCGUCCCGCUGCCACAUGCUCAGUUCUCCAUCUCAGUCUGGAAGGCAGAGUCUUGGUGGUGGUCCAGGGACAGCUGUCCAAAUUCCUGAGAACCGGGCUCAGUAUCCAGGUCCCUCC
rnacentral:lncRNA from 1 species